rnacentral:sRNA from 23 species
GGCUGUUCCCCUCUGGAGGUUUUUGACCUUCACACUUAUAAGGGCCCUGGUUUUCCAGUGGCCCUCUUUUUUUGCCUUU